CCGGUACCGCCGGGAAUGGCGCUGGGAAUGGUGGGAAUGGCACUGGGAAUGGUGGGAAUGGUGCUGGGAAUGGGCACUGGGAGCACUGGGAACGUGCACCGGCGGGCACCGCGCCGGCACCCCCUGCUCCGGUACCGCCGGGAAUGGCGCUGGGAAUGGUGGGAAUGGUGCUGGGAAUGGUGCGGGAAUGGUGGGAAUGGUGGGAAUGGCACUGGGAGCACUGGGAAUGGCACUGGGAAUGGUGCCGGGAAUGGUGGGAGGGGCACUGGGAAUGGGCACCGGGAAUGGGCACCGGGAAUGGGCACUGGGAAUGGCACUGGGAAUGGGCACCGGGAAUGGGCACUGGGAAUGGUGGGAAUGGUGGGAAUGGUGGGAGUGGGCACUGGGAAUGGGCGCCGGGAAUGGCACUGGGAAUGGUGCCGGGAAUGGGCACUGGGAAUGGCACUGGGAAUGGUGGGAAUGGGCACUGGGAAUGGUGCGUGGGAAUGGUGGGAAUGGCACUGGGAAUGCACACCGGGAAUGGGCACUGGGAAUGGGCACUGGGAAUGGCACUGGGAAUGGCACUGGGAAUGGUGGGAAUGGCACUGGGAAUUGGCACUGGGAAUGGGCACCAGGAAUGGCACUGGGAGCACUGGGAAUGGGCACUGGGAAUGGCACUGGGAAUGGCGCCGGGAAUGGCACUGGGAAUGGCACUGGGAAUGGUGGGAAUGGGCACUGGGAAUGGCACUGGGAAUGACACUGGGAAUGGGCACUGGGAAUGGGUACAGGGAAUGGUGGGAAUGGCACUGGGAAUGGCGCUGGGAAUGGUGGGAAUGGGCACUGGGAGCACUGGGAAUGGCACUGGGAAUGGGCACUGGGAGCACUGGGAAUGGGCACUGGGAAUGGCGCUGGGAAUGGGCACUGGGAAUGGCACUGGGAAUGGGCACCGGGAGCUGAGUUUGGGUGUAGAUGGAAUUUUGGGUACCUGGUUUGGGACUUUGGGAGGUGUAAACUCAAUUUUGGGUGCUUGGGUGGAAUUUGAGUGUCCCAAACCCAAUUCUGGGUGCUUGGGUGGAAUUUGAGUGUCCCAAACCCAAUUUUGGGUGCUUAGGCUGGACUUUUGAGUGUCCCAAACCCAAUUUUGGGUGCUUGGGUGGAAUUUGAGUGUCCCAAACCCAAUUCUGGGUGCUUGGGUGCACUUUGAGAGGCAUAAACUCAAUUUUGGGUGCUUGGGGUGGACUUUUGAGUGUCCCAAACCCAAUUUUGGGUGCUUAGGCUGGACUUUUGAGUGUCCCAAACCCAAUUCUGGGUGCUGGCGCUGGACUUUUGAGUGUCCCAAACCCAAUUUUGGGUGCUGGGGCUGGACUUUGAGAGGUGUAAACCCAAUUCUGGUUGCUUGGGUGGAAUUUGAGAGGCAUAAACUCAAUUUUGGUUGCUUGGGGUGCACUUCGAGAGGCGUAAACCCAAUUUUGAGUGUGCAAACUGAACUUUUUGCCAGCCCGGCGCCGCCGGCGCCGAGCCCACCCUCGCCCCCACGCCCCCCCGCUGCCUCCCUGACCCCCAUUCCCGUUUUCCCCCAUCCCAGGAGCGCGUGCAC
rnacentral:lncRNA from 1 species